rnacentral:rRNA from 14 species
UAAUUGCCCACGUCCUCCAACAGAAAAUGAAGAAAUUACAGAAUAAUAAUAAUAAUAAUAAUAAUACUAUUACCAUGGGGAUUGUGCAAACGGCCUAUGCCAAUGGAGCAGCG